rnacentral:rRNA from 1 species
CGCCAGACUCCUACGGGAGGCAGCAGUGGGGAAUAUUGCACACUGGGGGAAACCCUGAUGCAGCGACGCCGCGUGAGUGAAGAAGUAUUUCGGUAUGUAAAGCUCUAUCAGCAGGGAAGAAAAUGACGGUACCUGACUAAGAAGCCCCGGCUAACUACGUGCCAGCAGCCGCGGUAAUACGUAGGGGGCAAGCGUUAUCCGGAUUUACUGGGUGUAAAGGGAGCGUAGACGGCAUGGCAAGUCAGAUGUGAAAGCCCGGGGCUCAACCCCGGGACUGCAUUUGAAACUGUCAGGCUGGAGUGCAGGAGAGGUAAGUGGAAUUCCUAGUGUAGCGGUGAAAUGCGUAGAUAUUAGGAGGAACACCAGUGGCGAAGGCGGCUUACUGGACUGUAACUGACGUUGAGGCUCGAAAGCGUGGGGAGCAAACAGGAUUAGAUACCCUGGUAG